UGGGGUGCAGCUCAGUGGUAGAGCACUUGCCUAGCAUGCUGAGGCACUGGGUUUGGUCCCCAGCACCACAU
rnacentral:tRNA from 1 species